UAGGUGAUGAUGCUAUGCGACGUUUAUGGUUAACAUCCAACCUGCAAGAUUUUUAUUAUGCUGAUAUAAUCCGGGAACGCAUUGUGUUUUAUGGUUCAUUCUCAACGUCAAGUUAUUUUACUUUGUUUACUUUAUCGUUGGUCGUUGCUGAAAAAGUCUACCUAGAAAAGUUAUUUGCAGCGUCCUUUGUUUAAUGAGUUAUAAUGAAGAUUCAGCCUUGAACAAGAAAGUGUUUCCUAAUAUCUGAGCAAGUGUUACAAGACUUGUCUGAAAUGUUUUUCUUCUUUCACUGUGAUGCUUACGUGUAUCACAAGUUUCUUAUAGUCAAGUAAAGAUAUAUUCAGACAUGGUUAACUUUUUCUAAUCUGAUGAUUUCCUAUGAAGAUGACCCUGAAGUUCCUAACACUAUCAACAAUUGAGAUAAAUCGGGACUUGGAACAGAAGGCAGUUAGCCCUCAUGAACUUUUGGGAUAUCCAAAAUUUUGGUUUUGAUCAUUAGAGCAGAGAGGAUUUGGCAGCUAACAUAAGGGAGAUGAAGAAUAGAGCUGUUCCCUGUGCUUUUAGAGGAGACAACAUGGUAAGUCUCAAUAACUUCUGAGUGAUUACUCUGUUGAAGAUGUAUAAGCUUUCAGGGACAGAUAUGGUUCCACAAACCAUCACGCGGUCGCAGGAAAAGGGAAAGCUCAUGUAGUUGCUCCAUAUGGUCGAAUAACCAAGGAAACAUGGGGUUUCACGUGGCAACCAAUGGUGGCUACCUUGAUCUAAUGAGACUUUUAGCUCGGCCUCUCCAUCUUUGCUCUCUGUCAGUAACAAUUCAUGUGACACCCUCCUUCAUGAAAAAAAUCUCAUGUGUUUUAGACCAGUGUUUGAGAGGCUUGAAAAGACACUGAGAUCAUGAACUUUUCUAUCACAUCCGCUGUCUCGAAGUCCUCCGGAGAUGUUGUGAAUUAUAGUAAAAAUGAACACACGGGUUUUCAAUUGGCAAUCUCGGGAAUGUUAAUUUGGAGUUUUUUUAUAUGCUCAUGCCUGUGAAAUUGACCGAUAUUAACAUCAAAAUGCUUUUGGCAUUACUCUGUUUGAUAUCAUCAAGCACAAGCCACAUUUUCCAACGUUAAAUCUUUUGUUCGAUGGUUGGUCUCACCCAGAGGGAUGUUCAGUUGUCGUGUUCAGACCACCACACAUGUGGUCGCGUUUCACUUGAAGUACAUAAUAAAAUGUUUGCAGCCUAAAAGCUUGACUUGGGAUAUUUGUUUAGAUUAGUCAGCUAAACGUAUUGAACAAGACUCAUCAUUUGUAUAUGAAGCUUUUAGAAUUUUUGUAGCAUUUUAAUUCUGAAUUUUGGUUUGCCAUGUCAAAAUCUCCACAGUCAAAACAAUAUGAAAAUUCUCUACACAAACUGACAAUAAAUUAUGCAAUUAAAUCAAGAGAGAAGAAACCAUUAUCUUCCAAAAGCAGUUUUGUGAUAUAGAGAAGAAAAGAAUAAGUGUAAUUUUUAUCAACCUUUGCCUUUUAAACUGUUAUAAAAUAUUUAUAUAUAAAUUAAUUAUAACAAAUAAAGAAAAACUUAAAAAUAUUAGAUUGAUUUUAUAUAACAAAUAUAAAACAACUUUACAUCAGUUAUAAAUUAUUUCAAGUUUGACUAUUCUAUCUAAAAUAGUUGUGUAUGUAGCAAGAAUAAAUGAAACUGCUUAAAGAAGCUAACAGGAAGCAAGCCACCGCACAACCAAAUCAGAGCUGUUACCACAACAAGAACUUGGGUCCAAGAAGGCCACUUACACCAGAUGUUGGAAACCGUCGGUGGAUUAAUCCAAAGAAGACUACCGCCAUAUUUGGCACGAUCUACAUAUCUAUAGACCAGACACCAGAUCUAAAGACCCGAGUUAUAUCUCCGACUCCUAUGGCAAGAUGGACUCCGAUAACACACCGAAACUCCAGAGAUCUUUGAUAGAGACAGAAACAUAAAA